CGACACGGGCAGGAUUCGAACCUGCGCGUACAAAGUACAAUGGAUUAGCAAUCCAUCGCCUUAACCACUCGGCCACCGUGUC